GCGGCGCCAGGAGGGUCCGCGCGUCGGGCCAAUGCCAGAGCCGGCCGCGCCCCGCUCUAGUGGCCGCGCCGAGCCGCGCGCCAAGGGAGGCCGCGCAACCUGCGUCGGUGGGCUGGCUGCGCCCGCGCCAGGCUGUGGCAUGGCCACGCUGGUCGGGGGCCACGCCCGCGCCGGCCAGGGUUGCCGACACCGUGCCAGCCAGGUCGCUGCGCCCGCACUGGCGGCCUUGUGUGCGCCGGUGGCCGGCGGGCUUGCCGCGCCCCCGUGUGGCCGCGCCCUGCGGUGCGUGUUGACCGAGCCGAAGUCGCACUAGGAGGGCCUGCCAUGCGCUGGCGACUACAUUGGGUGCUUCGCUCGUCUUCUGGACGGCAGGGACCGGAUCUGCUCACCUUCAGGCAGCUAAGAUCUUCCUGGGACACUACAUUCCAGCAAUGCAGAAGGAGACAUGAUCUAUAGCUUUACCUUUGAAAUACUAGAAGAAUACAACACCAUUCAUCCUCUCAAAUGAAGAGCUGCUAUGCCUUUGAAAUACUACAAGAAUCACAACAUAAAAGAUUGUUUAUUUUGGAUACUUCUGGAUGGAUAUAAGGCUCCUUUAACUGCUGGGAAAUUCAGAGAUCUGAUCGAGCGGAAUUUCUGUGAUUGCUUGGAAACCCAGAGGCAGGGUGUGAAGAACAGAAGACCUACAACUAUAUCAACAGCUCCUCAUCCCAAUGGGAUGUACCCUAGCUCUCGACCUUAUACCCAGUAUAGGAGUUCAAUAAAAACUGGUCUUCCCUACGGGGACCUACGGGAGUACUGGUUAUGAUUCCAGGAUAUAUAUAUAGAUCGUGGGGGCUUCGAACGUGGAAAGUGCGGGGCACAACAAGUGUUUGGCUUAAUUUCAUGGAAAAUGGUUCUCCACAACCUGGUGGACGUGCUUUUGGGUUUUCAUUUCCUAUUGUGUGCACCAACCUUAGUAUUAUAUAUCAAACACAAACUACUAUAUAUUGCUUGCUAAUUUUCAUUCAUGUAAGCUUUUGUUGGAUAAUGUAGUAUGCAAGACAAGAUUGUAUGCUUGAUUUUGUUGGAGGAUGUAGUGUGAUGUAAUGUGCAAGACAAGAUUGUAUGGUACAAUAUAUAUGUAUCGACCUUCAUGUCAUGUGUGACUUUA